GAAACAACCAGACACAAAGCAUUUUUAGGCUAGUGUAAAGAUUGCACCUGUUUUUCCUACCCUCAAACUGUAAAACUGUGGUCACAGAUGGACAAGCUGUCACAGUGCAUAAUGUUUAACUUUUUUAACGGGUGGUGUGAUAAUUUUUAGCUUUUAAAAAAGAACUGCUUGCGUAUGACAUUCAAUUGUGAUGAUUCACUCAAAAAAUUUCCUCAAAGUAAAAGAAAAAAAGAAAACCCAACACUUGAAUUUGUCCAUGUGGCACAGCGGGUAGACUUUUGUUCGUGUUACGAAAUAUAACAGACGCUGAAACUGUUAUUUUAUACCAGACAUCAGAAACCCUACGAUUUCUUCAUUCUUACCAAAUGUUCAAAAAGUUUACAUUUAAAAUUUACGGCAUUUCCCUACAACAGAAGUCGGUUAAGGUAGAGUCGAACUGCUGUGGGUAUCUACACUGUCUGGAUUACACUUGUACACAUUUGGGGAAAUUCUCUGAUGUUACAUACUGUAAAACCAUACAUAAGAAAAAAUAUAUUAUCAGAUAGAUACACGAAGAACCCAUGUAUGUGGCCAAGAACGCAUCCAAAAAACCCUGGUUAGAAAAAAAAGUGGAGAUCCCUUCAGUUUUUUCCUUUGUAGGAACUUUUCAUUAUUUUAUAUAGAACCCAUUAUAUUUCAUUUAUCUAUUAUAGAACCAGAUUUUAAGGAUUCUUUAGGUACCCUGCCCUAUUUAUUCACCAUAUAAAAAACCCAUUUACAUUGGCAGGAACCUUUUUUCAACCAAGAUGUUUUCAUGUGUUCCUUUUGAGAAAUCUCUAUGGGUUGCCUAUAGACAGACACCAAGUGUUUCUAUUUCUAGUGAAGCUUACAACCCUUGAGGUAGUUAAGAAACCAUUAUUAUCCAAAGAACCCGUAAUAAAUCAUGUUGAACAACCGUAUGCACAACAUGGUUCUUAAAAAUGUUUGUUCAUUCCUUUGGGGUAAUUCAGAAUGGUUGCAUGCGGAGUCCUACGACGAGUGUUUUUUUACUUAUCAGAGAAAGUUACAGCUAGUACCGUGGUAGGAAGCCAAAAUGAAUUAUAAGAUCAAAGUUGACUUUUUAAGCAAGAACAAACGCGAACAGCAGCGACCUUUAAAAGCAGGACCAUUGAAGGCGCUCUCUUUUUUCUCAUGAGUUGAAAAUGUGUCCUGUCCUAAAAUGGAUAAAGUUUUUCCUUAGCUGGAUCCCUGUUCAAUAAAUAUUUAUAAAGUUUUUCCCCACGGAGCCGGGGCUACAUUUGUCUGCGAAAGCCAGACAAAUUGGCCUGGGUGUCUGUUCUGUAUACAGCAUAAAUUUCGGGACGUGGUUUUCAAUGGUCCCUUUGCUAAAUGAGCGCAUGCUACUGUUUAUAAGACAGACAUGUCAGACAGGCAGCAGGCGACUGAUUGGGAAAGAGACAGGCCAUGUGUGUUUUUGCAAGGGAACGGUGCUUGAGGUGAGGCUGUUUCUGGCUUUACUGGGACACGCCCAUUACUUGGCACAAAGGUUUGAGAGCGCCACGCUGCCGGCUGUGAGUUGCAACUUGCCGAGCAGCAGCCACCGCUAAGCAGAAGGCGUUUAUUUCGAUGCAGCUGCCACACCCAGAACGAAAAGUGUUUCUCAGUCCAGACAUGUAUGCUGGCUCAAAACCAUCAAGGCGAAUUCUCAGAGGAUUUUUUGGACCUGAUUUCUGCAAGAAAAGAAAAAGAAAGAAAGAGAGAAAGGGAGAGCAGAGAAAGGAUAGCUCCACCCCCCGUGUUACAUUACCCCGCCCUUAACCUCUCGUGUGACCAAGCCCAAGAAUCCCACACUUCCAGUUCCCACCACUGCACGCCUCCUCCAUUUGUUUAUCCUUCCGUUCACUCAUACAUAUGUUUAUUUAUUCGGCUGUUUAUUUAGUUUCCUUUCUCAUGCACUGGUCGUAGGGAUUUUUUAAGAUUCAAAAAGUGGCCUGGUUACACCAUGUGACCUUGGGCAGACCUGAUCACAUGGACCGAAUUUCCCUGCUGAACUUAGUGCCUUCAGGGAAGAGUUGAAACGUAGGUUAAUAAACUUUUGUGGUCGUUUUCAACCACUUUCAGUAACUGUGAUUCAGAACGUGACCAGACUGAAAGCGUCAUAAAUCUGUUUAGUUCAACGUACAUGUCUAGCUUAAUUCUGGGAAACAAGCCCAUUAACAAGUCAAAUACAGCAAGCAACCAACAAAUAUUUACAAUGCGGUUUACAAGUGGCUAAUCAUUUUUCCUAUUAACAUUUAUUUACCUUAUCUAAACACAGUUAUCUUAACCCUAGUGUUGACCCAAUGACACAAAUUCAGGGAAAUCCUUAAUCAGUAAUGAAGGAAGGUGAGAAGUAUGCUCUGUAAGUCAGGGUGAAAUGUCCUAACUCACAUAAACAGUUAGGUUAGAACACGGACACUUACGGCAGCAAUGCAACUAGCGAUCAUUGGGGCUCAGUUAUGUAAUGAUAUAAAACAAGACAUGACAUGCCGUUUCGUCAGCUGUGUGUAACUUCGCUUUUACCAAUCAGACGUUGGUUGAUUUACUUUAACAACACAUCCUGACAUGUUAUUUGUUUCAUGAUCGCAACAAAUAUAUUUUUAAAUAAUAUUUUCCUCCUGUUCUAGUUAUAAUAAAUUUUGGGGUAUAUCACGAAAACAAGUUUCUUUAUCGUUCUCUUGCAUCACAAUAGCUACAAACAAUAGGUCCUUUAUCAGCCUGUUUUCUGACGUGUCAUUCUGAAGAAACCUACAGCUUUAAAUCUGACAUUGGAGACUCCUUCCAAACAUGAUAGAGGAUGUUCUCCUCACUGGGAAGUUCACUCACAUGUGUUUAUGUUGAGCGUGUUUAUGUUGAGCUGCUUUUAUAGAACACUGAUCAACAUCUAAUCACCUUCUAAUCAACAUUGCUGUAACACAUAUGCCGCGAUGCAUGCUUUUCUCACAAAUUUAUCAUGCACAAUAGCAACACUCGCUGAUACAUUCUGAUAUUGUAUUGCCCUGAUAUUGAAGUGUUGCACGACUUCUUUUGCCUCCCAUAACAAUCUAAACGUCAAGAAUUUAACUUUAUCCCACAGUGUGGCAUUUAAUUUCACAACACUGCGAUCAGAAUCUACAGGAAACACAACGUCCAUGACCUUGAUUCAGAUAGCAUUUUUCACAUUUGUUAUGACAUAUUUACUUAGCGUAAGAGCUGUUACCUGACAAAGGAACAGUACACCAAAGAACAGAAGACAAACAGAAAACUCUCAGUUUCCGCAGAGGAUAAAUCUGAAGAACAUUCAAUGGUUAUAGAUAGAAUCGUUUUUGUUUUGGUUUUUUUCCCCCAAGACUUUACCUGCUAAAUGACACAAACACAUUGCAUCCUAAUGAUUUUUAUCAUUGCACUCCGACGUUUCACUGCAUCUAGUACAAUCUUUUUUAUUUAAAGUGAUAAAGCAUGUUUAAACUUUUAAUUGCAGCAGUCUAAAUUGUAUAUUAGUUCACAAAAAAGUCAAAGGUUCUACAGUGAGGAACCCUAAAACAAGACCAACUAAAACCCCUAAACCAUUCCAAGAACUUUUAAGGAAUCUAUUUUUAAACAACACCAAAAAAUGUUCCUUCAGGUUGUUCCUCUGGGAACAAAUUUUUUCAACAAGGUUUUUCUGCAGAAACUUUCAGCAGAGUCGUGAGUGUAUAAGUUCUCUAGCAAACUAAAAAUCCGUAAUUAUUCAAAUAGAUGAUUAAGACUUAGCACGCAUGGCACCAAACACUACAGGGUUCAAAUUAGAGUCCCUCUCUUAAACAAAUGUCAGACUCUUAAACAAAGAUUGUCUUUAGGUUUCUAAGAACUUUAACAAUUCAAAUGACCUCAAAAGAACACUUUUUAAGGGUACAGUUUAUUGUUGUUAAUGGACCUUUAGUUUGUUAAUUUGGAAGAAGGAUUUAGGUAAACCACAAUGUUCUACAACUUUUUCCCUGUAGGUAACCAAACCCUUUAACAUGAACAAACAACAUUUGUUUUGUUUUUAUCUGAGUGUGUUUCAGAACAGCUGGAGAGUUCCUUAUGUUACAGUAAGACACUGAAUUAUAUUGUCAUUAUGAUGCUCUAGAAAUGAUGUUAUAUGUGACUUGCAUUAAAAAAAGACCCUCUGUCUGAAAACCCAGAUGUCUCAGCACAGUCUAAAGAAUUAUGGAAGUCUGGGUACAGGGCACACCACAGUGUUAUCCACAGCUGGGCUUCUCUAUCAAUAAAGCCUGUGAAUGUGGGUGUGAAGAACAUUGUCAGCAGUCAGUAGUCAGCAGGGACGUCAUUGACGGCUUUAUUCGAAGCUAAUGAAGCAUAGAGUGACAUAAGACAAACACAGACAGUAGAUAUAAAGUACACCAAGGAAUUGACCUGCCAAAACCUAAAUAUGACCUUCAGGUGUUGAAGGAGGCCAUCAAUAGAGCCUCAGUCAACACCUGAUAUUUCUGCCAUGCUUCAUCUGUCCUCUCCUGUCUUACUGGCCUUUAGAACAGCUCUUAUCAUCACAUCUCACUGUUUGCUCUUCUCUACAUCUCAUGCACUCGAAUGUAUUGUUUAAAAAAAAAAAAAUCAGCCGCAGAUCUUUAUAAAACAACAACAGAGGCAAGGCUGCACACUUAGCACAUACACAAACACAUUCCCUUCCAGAGUCUGAAAUGCCCGGAAUGAUGGAUGAACACCUUUCAGCAAUGCAAUGAGUAUUUCCUCCUCCAUAUCAGCUUAUCUGUAAACUAAAGAGAGGAAUCUCGUACUAGAGGAACACCCCCACCCCACCUCUUCCUCUGCCCUCUCGCACUCUCCUGCUCCCUGACAUGAAGGGGUACCAGAGAAGAGAAGGAUUAACCUUGUGUUCGAAAGGCCACGUGUUUUUUUUUCCAGCUCUUGGAAGCGUUUUCACCCAAUCCUUCGUUUCGGUACUCAGCGGUGCCAGCACACAGUUUCAUCAGAAGUAAGUUCUGGUGAAAAAGGAGAUUGAGACACCCGAGCUCUCAAAGGAGCACCAGCAUUCUGCCGUUUUAUUUCACAAUAUUGUAUUGCUGUUCUCAUCAAAAAAACACACAGAAGACCUGUCUGAGUCUGUAUCACUUCUGUUAUCAACGUUUUUAGAACAAAAGGUGCAGUUUUGCUUCUUCUCUUGUAUACUCCUUGGGAAAGGGAAAAAAAAAUAGGGGUGUAGCCUAUACUGAUCUGAUACCGAAAAUGCUGGAUUGGGUAUCAGGUCCAAUUUUCCAGACCGAUCCAUUGAUUUUAGGAUAUUUAACGACACGGAUCUUGCAUGCAAACAUGGUUUAUGCAUUUGUUUAGGGGGGAUUAUGCAAAUGUAUUCUGCCAAAUUACAAUAAGUCUUAGUAGUAGUGAUACUCAGUGGUUAAGGUUCUGUGCUUCUGAUCAACUACUGCGAGUUCAAAUCCCAGCAUCGCGCUCAGAUCCACAGGGGGCUCAGCACGAGCCAUAAAUCUAAAGUUGUUUCAGAAAAAAUUGCAUCAAGUAGUCUUAUCAGCCAACACCCAACCCUUUUCCACUGGACAAGCAUUAACUAAAGUAAAUUUCUGCUAGAAAAAAAAAAAAAAA